rnacentral:rRNA from 1 species
UACGUAGGGGGCUAGCGUUGUCCGGAAUCAUUGGGCGUAAAGCGCGUGUAGGCGGUCCGGUAAGUCCGCUGUGAAAGUCGGGGGCUCAACCCUCGAAUGCCGGUGGAUACUGCGGGGCUAGAGUGCAGAAGGGGCAACUGGAAUUCUCGGUGUAGCGGUGAAAUGCGUAGAUAUCGAGAGGAACACCUGCGGCGAAGGCGGGUUGCUGGGCUGACACUGACGCUGAGGCGCGAAAGCUAGGGGAGCGAACGGG